CUACGGGCGGCAGCAGUGGGGAAUAUUGGACAAUGGGGGAACCCUGAUGCAGCAACGCCGCGUGGAGGAUGACGCAUUUCGGUGUGUAAACUCCUUUUAUAUGUCAAGAAAAUGACGGUAGCAUAUGAAUAAGCGCCGGCUAACUCCGUGCCAGCAGCCGCGGUAAUACGGAGGGCGCAAGCGUUACUCGGAAUCACUGGGCGUAAAGGACGCGUAGGCGGGUUGAAAAGUCAGGUGUGAAAGCCUACAGCUUAACUGUAGAACUGCACUUGAAACUCUCAACCUAGAGUAUGGGAGGGGCAGAUGGAAUUAGUGGUGUAGGGGUAAAAUCCGUAGAUAUCACUAGGAAUACCUAAAGCGAAGGCGAUCUCCUGGAACAUUACUGACGCUAAGGCGUGAAAGCGUGGGGAGCAAACAGGAUUAGAUACCCCCGUAGUC
rnacentral:rRNA from 1 species